rnacentral:rRNA from 1 species
AGUGAACGCUGGCGGUAGGCCUAACACAUGCAAGUCGAACGGCAGCACAGUAAGAGCUUGCUCUUACGGGUGGCGGGUGGCGGACGGGUGAGGAAUACAUCGGAAUCUACUUUUUCGUGGGGGAUAACGUAGGGAAACUUACGCUAAUACCGCAUACGACCUACGGGUGAAAGCAGGGGAUCUUCGGACCUUGCGCGAUUGAAUGAGCCGAUGCCGGAUUAGCUAGUUGGCGGGGUAAAGGCCCACCAAGGCGACGAUCCGUAGCUGGUCUGAGAGGAUGAUCAGCCACACUGGAACUGAGACACGGUCCAGACUCCUACGGGAGGCAGCAGUGGGGAAUAUUGGACAAUGGGCGCAAGCCUGAUCCAGCCAUACCGCGUGGGUGAAGAAGGCCUUCGGGUUGUAAAGCCCUUUUGUUGGGAAAGAAAAGCAGCAGGUUAAUACCCCGCUGUUCUGACGGUACCCAAAGAAUAAGCACCGGCUAACUUCGUG